AAGGCGGGCGCGAAAAGACGAAGGCGGCGAAAGAAGGAAGAAUUAAAUUCUUCCUUCUUUCGCCGCCUUCGUCUUUUCGCGCCCGCGGUCC
rnacentral:miRNA from 1 species